UUACGGUCAAAUCAAGUUUAAACACCAGUUUUCGUACGAUCACCGAAGUUAAACAACGUCGAUCCUGGUCACUACCUAGAUGGGGGAUCGCUUGGGAAUAUCAUGUGCUGUAAG